AAGCUGUGUUGGAGGCUCUCGAUGAGGCUGUUCUGGAGAAUCUCUGGAAGCUGCUCUUAAGCUGUGUUGGAGGCUCUCGAUGAGGCUGUUCUGGAGAAUCUCUGGAAGCUGCUCUUAAGUUGUACACAUGGGAGGGAAAACAUUAGCUCUAGCUAUGGGCUAAUAUUGGAGGAAGAAAGUCAAAGAAAGGACACAUAAAUCAAAGUGCUCCACUAGCCUUGCUUACCUUCCAUGGGAUAAUUAUAAGCUCCUUCUUUUGGAGAGAAAAUAUUGGGAUCUUUACAAGCUUUGAAGGUUGAAUGGAGAAAUUGGGUCCAAAAGGAGCCCUAUAUGUGUAGUGCCAUUUGGUAAUAAAGAAGGAUGUAGUCUCAUCUUUCAUAAGUCACAACUCAACUAUUUCGGUGCUUUUUUUUCUUCAUUGGAUGGUUUGAACAUCAACCAAUGGUGUG